GAGAAUUUCUGCGCAGUCCUCACCACACAACCCACAUUCUGCCCAAAGUAAAUUUGACAUUUAUAAGGGCAAUAAAUUCUGCUUUUUCUUCACUGCAUUCCCACUCCUGAAAACCUCAAUGGUUUGCUCAACACACGAAAUUGGUACAAUAUGCUGAUGCAUGCAAUUUCUCUGGCUGAUGACACACUUAUGUACUGAUCCCCCAGUAAUUCGCUUCUGCCUGCAGCUGCUUCUUUUUUUAAGCAAAUGAUAUCUCUUUCAUUCUAUUUUGCACUCGUAUCGUACGCAGUAUUUCACUUUAUCAUCCCUUGCUUUGAGCCUUUGAUGACAAUGACUUGCCAACUGCUAUCUCCCUCUCUAUGUUACUCUUUAUAAAUAGAUUAUUCACUUAAUUUAUAGGAAUAAAAUAAAAUUCUCAUGGUUCUAAGAUGUUUAUUUACUAGGUCUAUUUUAAUUUUUAAAAUCUUUAGGUUCAUAUCUUGUUGAGAUGAAGUUUACAGGAGAUGGUAGUGAAACGUGGUUCCUCUAUCUUGUUCGUAGCAAGCUAGGAACGGUAGUAAGAUGUGUCUACUUCUCCUUAUGCAUUCAUAUCUUUAUAAAUACAUGGAUACAUCAUCAGGAAAAACACCUUUAAUUAACACGGUUUUUUUUAUAUCUCUUUUUAUGAUUUGAAGACGGGAGGGAGUAUAACAUUAUCACGUUAUCACUUCUUUCUGUUAUAUAUGUUUAUAUAUUUCUCUAAGAUAUAGUAAAUUUGAGGGACUAAUAAGUUUUAAAAAAAAAUUAUGGGACUAAUCAAAUGAUGUUUUUAAGAUUUGGAGGGUAAAAAUCAAAUUCAUUCUAAAUUUUAAGCACUGAAAACAUAAUUAAAUCUUCAUUAAAUCCAGAAAUCUUAUCCUUAAUACAUAGUUAUUAAAUAAGUAUAACUUUAAGGAUAAAUUAAUCUACAGGUCAUAGAACUAAAUGAAAAUUUUUAAUUAGGUCCUACCAUUAAUUAUCGUUAACUUCAUUAACGACGAAGACUUCUUAAUUAAAAAAAUAGAAGUCCAGGCAUCCAAUUAUAAUAAUUGUUCAGGGACUUAAUUAAAAUUUUCAAAUGAUUUAUAGACCUACUGAAUAAUUUAAAAGUAAGUUAAAAGUCAUAAAAAAAUAUCACUUAAUUAAAAGAUGUAUUCGGAGGAAAUGCGUUAGGUUUGUCCAAACUAAACCUGUAAGAGAAGACUGAGAAUAUUAACCAGGAUAGAUGAGAAUACUCAGUGCAGACCUACUGAGGUAAAAAUACCAAAUUCAAAAGUAACCUAUAAAGAUUUGAGAAAAAUAUUGUGAAAUUCUAAAGAGAAUUUUAGAAUGAUUGAAGUAAGUCCUUGAACUAUAUAUUUGAAAAUAUUUAAUUAGGUUUUUAAACAAUUUUUUCAAUUGGUUUCUGAACUUCUAUUUCUGUUAUUAGGUCUCUACCGUUAACAAAGUUAAUGACAAUUAAGGACAUGAACCAAAUUAAAAAAGAAAUAAAAGUUCAACGGCUCACUUGAAAAAAAAAUAUAAUUCAAAAACCUAAUUAAAAAUUAUGAAAUAGGGACCUAUAAAUUAAUUUAACCUAAAAUUUUCAAAAUAUAGAAUAUUGAACUAGAUGAUAACUAUUCAAAAUAUAUUACAAACUCAUUUUUAAUAUAGAUCAUUACAAUAAAUUUUUAAAAUUCAAAUUUAUCACAAUAACUUUCAAUCCAGAUGGAUUAAGUGAGAAAAAAAAGUGAUGAAGACACUUGAGUCUUAUCAAAUAGAGCAAUCAUAUGCAUAUAACUCAUUAUCUUAUAAUUCGCUUUCAUCCUCUUUUUCUUUAUCUAUUUCUCUAUUUUUUCCAUGACAUUACAUGUCAUAUUUAUUAUUUAUUAUUUUUUCUUUAUCUUUCUCUUCCCUCUACCAUGAUUCACCUAAAAUGGGAUAUAUGGAUGAGAGAAAAUGGAUCCUCUCACGUGAAACAUUCAUUUGAAUGUUCUCAUGUGAAAAUUUUCACCUUUCAAGUGGCAUGUCUUUCUUUUAUUAUUUAAAUUUUCUUUCUCUUACUUUUAAUUAUAUAUAAGCUAAGAUUUCACGUGAUCGAUAAUAAUGUCAAAUGAUCGAUCCAAACCCGCGUGUACUAUUAACAUUUUAUAUCAAACACUAUCCUAUACAACAUUGAACAUAUAUUAAAUUGUUGGUUAAUGUAAUAAUAAUACUAAUCUUAAGAAACAAUUAAAAAAUGCGCUUUUAUUACGUAGGAAGAACUUCACCAGACAAGCCAACUUUCUGCCCAAAUUAAAUUUGAUAUUUACAGGGGCAAUAAAUUCUCCUUUACUGCAUUCCACUCCUCAAAAUCUCUACAUAUAACCAGUGUCGACCCUCAAUUAGCUUAGUACGAAUAUGCUAUUGCUGAUGUUUCUCUGGCUGGUGAGACAGUUGUGACUCGUGAGUGUGUGAUCCUUUUCAACCACUGAUCCAUCCCCUCCAAUAAUUCUGGCUCUUCCCGCUUGGUUCUAUUUUAAUUAAUUAAGAGGAAGAGUUACUUUGGUUGGAAAAGGUCUAACAAAAAAAUGUGCAAAAGAAAGGGUCCAAGCUCAGAAUUGAGGCAACCGAACAUGCCAACAUCGCCGCCGGAGGUUGUUGAAUCAUCAUCAGGUGAGUUGCCAGAAGAGUUUUCUUGGUCAUCGUGUCUAUCUUCUUCGGUGUCAUCUUCAUCAAAGAUACCAAUUGAGGAUGAAGAGAAUGUGCAACGUGCAAAUGCUUCUCCAGAAACAAAAGCCAUGGAUCUCGUUGGUUGUCCUCGAUGCUUCAUGUACGUCAUGUUAUCCGAGGUGGAUCCAAAGUGCCCUAAGUGCAAGACCACAGUGUUUCUUGAACUUUUCAAAGAUGAAAACUUCAACCCAGAUAAUUAAUUGAGCUUUUCCACGGGGAUUUAAGUUAAUUAUAAUAUAUAUAGGAAGGGAAAAAAUAAAUCUCCUUGAUUCUAGGAUGCUUGUUUAAUGUUUAUCUAUGCUUAUUUAAAAUCUUAAGGAUCAUAUAUUCAUUUCCUGUUGA